CGAGUCGAACCUUCCCUGUUGCGGGAGGCGUGGCGUACGGCUCAGUAACACGUAGUCAACCUGCCCUGGAGACAGUAUAACCCCGGGAAACUGGGAUUAAUCCUUGAUAGGUCAUCUCAUCUGGAAGGAGAGAUGGCUUAAAGGGGUGCGAGAGCUUCUUUCUUGUACCCGCUCCAGGAUGGGACUGCGGCCGAUCAGGCUGUUGGUGGGGUAAUGGCCCACCAAACCUGUAACCGGUACGGGCCUUGAGAGAGGGGGCCCGGAGAUGGACACUGAGAGAAGGGUCCAGGUCCUACGGGGCGCAGCAGGCGCGAAACCUUCACAAUGCGCGAAAGCGUGAUGAGGUUAAUCCGAGUGGUCCCCGCUGAGGGGAUCUUUUGUCGGCUGUAAAAGGCCGGUGAAUAAGGGGAGGGGCAGUUUGGUGUCAGCCGCCGCGGGUAA
rnacentral:rRNA from 1 species